rnacentral:rRNA from 1 species
GAUGAACGCUGGCGGCGUGCCUAAUACAUGCAAGUCGAGCGAACGGACGAGAAGCUUGCUUCUCUGAUGUUAGCGGCGGGCGGGAGUGUAACACGUGGAUAACCUCCCUAUAAGACGGGGAUAACUUCGGGAAACCGGAUCUUAUACCGUAUAAUAUUUUGAUCCGCAUGGUUCAAAGGUGAAAGACGGUCGUGCGGUCACUUAUAGAUGGUUCCGCGCUUCAUUAGCUAGUUGGUAAGGUAACGGCUUUCCAAGGCAACGAUGCAUAGCCGCAAUGAGAGGGUGAGUAGCCGCACUGAGAGUGUGACCGGGUACAGACUCAUACGGGUGGCACCCAUAGGGAAUCUUCAGGCAGGGGCGGAAACCAGACCGAAAAACGCGGCGUGCGUGAUGAAGGACUUCGGGUCGUAAAACACUGUUAUCGGGGAAGAAAACAUGUGUGCGUGACUCUGAACAUCAUGAAGGUACAUAAUCAGAGAGCCACGGCUAAAUACGUG